UCGCCCUGUCUGUGCUGCGUGUUUCAGCGUUUGUCUUUUAUAACCACACAGUGAAAACGACUCUCUGUUGUCACCUAAAGAUCAAGCAAGAUCAGUAUCAUCUGAGACACAUCACCGGCUUUCAUGUGCGUUGAAUAGACAGAUAGUCAGAUAGGUGAAUGGACAGACGAACACACACGCACACAUAGAUAGAUAAACAAGGUAGUAAUGCCAGCAACUGAAGAUAAAGUUCCCAUGCGAACGAUCGGAACGCCAGCUACAGAAGCAACAGUGUAUUACCCAACUUCCGGCUUCGAGUGAAUGAGUCUGAGAAGGUGUACAAAACUACACAAGGGGUAUCUGCAGUAGCCGUCUCUAAUUUGGAAACCGUAGACAAGGAGGGUAGCUAAUUAACAGCGCCCAUCGCCAACUCUUGGAUUUCUCUAAUUGUGGAAUUUGACCGUCACUUUUAUAACGCGCUGAUGAUCCCAAAGUGCAGAGUGCACUUUUGCAGCAAUCAUGGACCAUCGGAUUUGAAGUUCAGUACGCUAACUAAUAGGCCACGCCCGCCUUCUCUAAUGUUAAUAUUUAUAAUUAAUAUUUUCAAUCGGAUA